AAAAGAAUGUGCAAAGACUACACACUCUUAUGUAAGAGACUUCAGCAUCCACAGGUUUGAGUAUCCAUUGGGGGUUCUGCAACCAAUCCUGCCACAGAAACCGAGGGGCAGUUCCUUACUUGUUUCAGCAUAGCUCCACAAUACCAUCGUUAAAGAAAAUGAAAGGCAGUGCCCUUGAAAAUCCUGAUUGAAUCAAAUUCUCCUAACUAUAUAUCCUGCUGCAGUAUAUCUUCCAUGCACAAUAUGGCAAGCUGGGGUGUGUAACGAAGAUAUUCUGUUUCAGUUCUACUGGGUGAAGGUCUCCAUUGAGCUGCAUUGUCAAAAAGAGGAGCAAGUUUUAGCCAAAGCUGCAGAGGUUUUCCUUCUUUGUAUAUCAGUCACAGAAUGUAGGCAC
rnacentral:lncRNA from 1 species